UCGACUUUUCAGCACCUGUUGCCCACGUGCUCCUCGCAGGCUCCUCCUCCAGGCCCCUCCUGCCUGCAGCGCAGCGCAAAGCAAACGUCUGAGUAGAGCGUUUGAGUAGAUCUGGGGGCUUCUCUCCCUGUGACUCCUUCGUUUCCGGGAUUCCAUCCUAUUUCCAGUCACUCUGGCAUUCCCAAGGUCCUUCCUCUGAUACCUUGAACCAAGCAGGAGAAGGAGGCGGGACUUCAGAGCAUUCACUACAGCAAGCAGCUGGAUUCCUUGCUGAGCACUUUUGCAGUCUAAUUAGGCUCUACUAAGAACUAAAUGGUAAAUCAAAUUGGGUCUGCUCUAGGGAACUGACCAUCUUAGACUCAAGAGAGGAAGAAUCAAGAGACCCUUCCCAACUGUUUGAACCUGCCUGUUGGAACUCGGGGAAGGUCAUGGAAGCUGAAUGAAGAAUCAGAGAACUGGGGGACACAGGAAGGCUUUUGUGCCCAGGAGCUCCACAACGUCUUGCUUGGGAGAACUUCAGCUGAACUUCCUUUAAGGGUUACCGCCCUGAGGCUCUUGACGUUUUGCAGGACUUCUCUGCAAGCCAAGAAUCAGAUCUUUAGAGAGGACCAGACUCAGGGCCUUCUGGACUGUCCCCUGAACAACGACCACAUUGUCACACCUCUUCUGCCUGCUGAAAGAAACCAUCGAACCGAAGUUUCCAGAUCUUCCCUUCUCAUCCUCGUCCUCCUCCAGUUGGCCCACCGCAGCCCUGCGCUCCCAGGCUGAGAAGUCAAAUUCAUGCUCUAGGAUGGCACCGUUUUCUCUGCACUCAGCCCGUUGGUCCACUUUCCUUGCUUCUCCUCUCGGAUACCCAGGUUCCAGGAUCAGUUCUUUGCUUAAGGAGUUUCCGAAUGGCGUGGAGUCAAGGAAAGUGAAGUGGGACAGGGUAUCCACUUUAGACUUUGGCUUCCCCAUAGAGCAGUGACAAGAGUGACCAGCACUUAUGUGGUUUCUUGGGGUUCACAAAGACUUUGCAUAUUAGUAACUUCAUGUGACCCCCAUAACCACACUGUGAUGUACACCCAGAAACAUUUUGUGUGGGAGGAAGUGGGGAGAUCUCUAGGCUGGGUAGUGGAUUCCUUCCUUUGCUGUGAGGAAUAUCACAACAGGCCUCUGUGUGCCUGGAGAAGAAUUAAAUUUAAAUGUAAUAGGAUGGCUGACAGCCUAAUACUCAUGUUCCUCAUUUGUUCUUAAGGAAAUCCAGAGAAUGUUCUAUAAUAAAAUCUAUCCAGGGGAAAAUAACUUUUAUCACUCAUGCCUUCGUGAGGUCCCGAAUAACUUAACCUAAGGCAUAAGCAUCUGGACUUGGAGGGGGCUGUGGUGCUGCUAGGAAGGUGGGUGGGGAACAAAGGCUGCAUAGAAAAUAAAUGCUAAUUUAGAAAUAUAUAGAGGAAAGUAUAAAUUUAAGAGGUUCUCCUGUAACUUUUGAUAGUUUAAUGUUUUUGUUUCCUGCCUUUCUCUUUGAAUAUAAAUAAUAUAUUAAUAUUACACAUAAAUUUAUAAUCGUAUUUUUACAGCCUGCUCUUUUUUUUUCUUGAUUCAUUAUGAAUAUUAUUCCACACUGUUAAAAAAUUCUUUCAAAAUAUCACAUAUAUUGGCUGGAACAGUAUUUAACAAUUUUCCAGUUGUGUGAUAUUUAUGUUGUUGCCGAUGUUUCUCUGUUAUAAUAAAACUGCAAUUAUCCUUAUGCU